rnacentral:tRNA from 1 species
GGAGCAGUUGGUAGCUCGUCGGGCUCAUAACCCGAAGGUCGUAGGUUCAAGUCCUACC